rnacentral:rRNA from 1 species
UACGUAGGGGGCAAGCGUUGUCCGGAAUCAUUGGGCGUAAAGAGCGUGUAGGCGGCCCGGUAAGUCCGCUGUGAAAGUCCAGGGCUCAACCCUGGGAUGCCGGUGGAUACUGUCGGGCUCGAGUCCGGAAGAGGCGAGUGGAAUUCCUGGUGUAGCGGUGGAAUGCGCAGAUAUCAGGAGGAACACCGGUGGCGAAGGCGGGUCUCUGG